UUGUGUUAUUAUAUGAUUGUUAGGAUGAACUCUGAACGGCUUCCUUCGUUUCCACACAAGAGAUCUGAAUAAGACGAAAGGUUUAUUUCUUUAAUUACUAUUUCUCUUAUUUUUGUUAUUGUUCAUUCAAAAGCUUAAAAGUUGAGACUGAGAGGGUGGACAGUCCUUCUAUAACAGACAUGUCUUCUAUUUAAAAAUCUACUUGUUUUAAGGGAAAUGUUUUCAUUUUUGUGUGACCGUGAAAGACUGCAAUGGAUUUAUAUUAGAAAUUGCAAACUAAGUUAUAUUUGGUUUAUCUGUAUGGAAAAAUCUAAAAGUUGUUUUAAAAAUCUUGUGAUAUAUUGUGUUGAUUUCUUUAAUUUGAAUUUGAUUGAUUUCUUGUUUUCCUUCAAAAAAGAAAGACACACACAGCUAUCCAAAAAUGGUUGGCGUUUUGAGCAACAAAAAAAACAACAAUAAAAUGGAAUUAUGCUUUUGACUGUUUUUAAAAACGUGGAACAAAAGAAGAAGAAAAAAGAACCCCGACCUGGAUGAAGUUCUGGGUUGAACCUCUCUGUACUGUUACUUGUGUUUCUGAGUGUUUUAACCAAGCUUGUCUUCCUGCCUUCAACCUAAUAUAUACUCUAGCAUCUUAAAAAGUAUUCACUCGUUGUUAUAACUAUUUAUUGUGCUUUUAAGAAAGGAGGAAGCAGAGAACAAGACCAAAGCAGGAAGGGACACAUAAUUUUGCUAUCCAUCCAAAAGGCAUUGAGAUGUCGAUAAUAGCGGCCCAGACCAAAUCUAUUGAGUUAUUGUUAUAUUUCUAUACGUCAUUGUAAAGCAUGAUGUAAUAAGCAGUUGAACCAAUCCAAUCCAAUUGUUCUCCUCUGAAUGAGUCUUUUGGUAAUUAUAUCUUGAUCUGAUUUCUCUUUUCCGUCCUGUGUAUUUUAUUAUUGAACCCCUUCUGCCAUCAGAUCAGGAGAGAGUGCACCAAGGUUUAGGUUAAACUCGGGCCUGUUGAAGAAGGACCAUUUUUCAUAUUUAUUUUUUUUCAUUCAGAAAUGUUUAUCUUGACUUCUAAAUUUGCUUGAAAAAAAACGCUUUUCUUUUAACGUUUUUAUUUUUUUAAACUUUGAUGUUUUUCUGUAAAACAAUUGACAUCAAAAGAACUUCAACCGAAGGUUCACCAUUCUCCCAUCUAUACAUUCAUCUCUAUACAUUCAUCUCUAUACAUUCAGCUCUAAGAUGACGCAGUGAUUAGUAGAGUUUUCUACUAAUACACAGAGGAAUGUCACCUAAGAGGAUCCGUUCAGGCCAGUGGGCUGUGUUCUACUAAACACUACUAAAUAACUCUAUAACAGACGUCAUUACCAAUCAGGGCUUGAAUUCAUGUAUUCUUUUAUUCACGGUCAUUUAAAAGGUCAAACUGAUACUACGGGGGGGGGUCCUGAUCUCUAAGCUGUUGGUCAAAUCACACCAUGCUACACAGCAUCUCUAAGCUGUUGGUCAAAUCCCACCAUGCUACACAGCAUCUCUAAGCUGUUGGUUAAAUCCCACCAUGCUACACAAUAUCUCCAAGCUGUUGGUUAAAUCACACCAUGCUACACAGCAUCUCCAAGCUGUUGGUCAAAUCACACCAUGCUACACAGCAUCUCUAAGCUGUUGGUCAAAUCACACCAUGCUACACAGCAUCUCCAAGCUGUUGGUUAAAUCCCACCAUGCUACACAGCAUCUCCAAGCUGUUGGUUAAAUCCCACCAUGCUACACAGCAUCUCCAAGCUUUUGGUUAAAUCCCACCAUGCUACACAGCAUCUCUAAGCUGUUGGUUAAAUCCCACCAUGCUACACAGCAUCUCUAAGCUGUUGGUCAAAUCCCACCAUGCUACACAGCAUCUCCAAGCUGUUGGUUAAAUCACACCAUGCUACACAGCAUCUCCAAGCUGUUGGUCAAAUCCCACCAUGCUACACAGCAUCUCCAAGCUGUUGGUUAAAUCACACUAUGCUACACAGCAUCUCCAAGCUGUUGGUUAAAUCACACCAUGCUACACAGCAUCUCCAAGCUGUUGGUUAAAUCCCACCAUGCUGCACAGCAUCUCCAAGCUGUUGGUUAAAUCCCACCAUGCUACACAGCAUCUCCAAGCUGUUGGUUAAAUCCCACCAUGCUACACAGCAUCUCCAAGCUUUUGGUUAAAUCCCACCAUGCUACACAGCAUCUCUAAGCUGUUGGUCAAAUCCCACCAUGCUACACAGCAUCUCCAAGCUUUUGGUUAAAUCCCACCAUGCUGCACAGCAUCUCCAAGCUGUUGGUUAAAUCCCACCAUGCUACACAGCAUCUCCAAGCUGUUGGUUAAAUCCCACCAUGCUACACAGCAUCUCCAAGCUUUUGGUUAAAUCACACCAUGCUACACAGCAUCUCCAAGCUUUUGGUUAAAUCACACCAUGCUACACAGCAUCUCCAAGCUGUUGGUUAAAUCCCACCAUGCUACACUAACCCAUCCAACUGUCGACACCAGUAUUGAAACUGACCUUUAAUAAUGAUGUAUCCUAUUAAUUAUCAUGCUUAUUGCAAUAUUUCACCUCUAUAUACUGUACUUAGCAGCAUGCAUGUUGUUGAACAAAGAAGAUGUUGAAAUGCCAAUGGUGAAAUGUGGCCUACCAGCUCAUUGAUGGAUGUCAAUAGUAUUCUCUAUCAUCCGACUUCUUGUUUUCAUGAUUACAUUUUUUUAAAUUUAUAUAAUAAUUGUAAAUAAAAAACUCAAUGUCUUUGCUAAUUUACUACUAUGCAAAAUGUAAUUCUGAUUGUUCCCCACCCGAGUGUGUUUCUGGAAUGUUUGUGAUUAGUUAAAAAAGGGGAGUAAAUUAUUUUCUAGCUUGACGAAAGUUAUGAACUGAGACUCUUGUCGCUGCUUGACUGCCCCGUUACCACGACUCCAAGACAGGAGCAAGGAAAGAUAAUUAAAUAAAUAUCCUGAGCAGCAUGAACCAGAAUGGUGUUAUGACCCGUGUCAUGUGAUGUCUGCGCUGUGUGGUGAUUGGUUCUCUGAAUAAUGUUAUGACCCGUGUCAUGUGAUGUCUGCGCUGUGUGGUGAUUGGUUCUCAGAAUGAUGUUAUGUACUUUGUAUUUACUAUGGAUCUUCCUGGGGUUCAGCAAAAUUAAGGCAGUUAUACAUUUUAAAA
ensembl:lncRNA